rnacentral:rRNA from 1 species
UACGAAGGGGGCUAGCGUUGCUCGGAAUCACUGGGCGUAAAGGGCGCGUAGGCGGCUCUUUAAGUCAGGGGUGAAAUCCUGGAGCUCAACUCCAGAACUGCCUUUGAUACUGAAGAUCUUGAGUUCGGGAGAGGUGAGUGGAACUGCGAGUGUAGAGGUGAAAUUCGUAGAUAUUCGCAAGAACACCAGUGGCGAAGGCGGCUCACUGGCCCGAUACUGACGCUGAGGCACGAAAGCGUGGGGAGCAAACAGG